rnacentral:rRNA from 1 species
UAAUAGCGUAUAUUAAUGUCGUUGCAGUUAAAAAGCUCGUAGCUGGAUUUUGGUGUUUGAUAAAUGGUCUGCCUUCGGGUCUGCACUGUUUGUUGGCACUUCUUUUCUGGGGAACGCACUGCUCUUAAUUGAGGGGUGCUGUAACGCAGAUCGUUUACUUUGAAAAAGUUAGAGUGUUCAAAGCAGGCCAACGCAUUGAAUACAUUAGCAUGGAAUAAUGGAAUAGGACUUUGGUCUUAUUUUGUUGGUUUCUAAGGCCGAGUUAAUGAUCAAUAGGGAUAGUUGGGGGCGUUUAUGUUCCAUUGUCAGAGGUGAAAUUCUUGGAUUUACGGAAGAUAAACUACUGCGAAAGCAUUUGCCAAGGAUGUUUUCAUUAAUCAAGAACAAAAGUUAGGGGAUCGAAGACGAUUAGAUACCG